rnacentral:snRNA from 1 species
AUCGCUUCUCGGCCUUUUGGCUAAGAUCAUGUGUAGUAUCUGUUCUUUUCAGACAGCCACGCCUCCCGGAGCUCCGGGUUGUCUUCGAAGAAAAUCGAGUUUUUAGAUCGCGUUAGUCGAUAAUUUUUGUAUCUACGUUUUCGUCUUAGUUUAUAGACCAAGUAGGUCUAGUUUUUACAGAUUUUUGUUUCAUUUU